rnacentral:rRNA from 1 species
AAAACAUGUCCUUUAGAUUAUGUAAUUAAAGGUCUGACCUGCCCGGUGAUUACUUAAACGGCCGCAGUAUUUUGACUGUGCGAAGGUAGCAUAAUCAUUUGUCUUUUAAUUGAAGGCUAGCAUGAAUGGUUGGACGAGGGACUAACUUUCUUUAUUUAAAUUUAAUGAAUUUAAUUUUUUGGUUAAAAAGCUUAACUGUUUUUGCAAGACGAGAAGACCCUAUAGAAUUUUAUUUAUUUAAUUAAGAUUUUUUGUUUUGUUUAUGAUUAAUUGAAUUUUAAUUUGUAAAUUUUGUUGGGGCGACAAUGAAAAGCUAUUAACUUUCAUUUUUAAUUUUUCGUUAAUUAGCGUGUUUUUUGACCCUAUAUUUAUGGGUUGUAAGAUUAAAUUACCUUAGGGAUAACAGCGUAAUUUUUUCGGAGAGUUCUUAUCGAUGAAUAAAGUUUGCGACCUCGAUGUUGGAUUAAAGUAAUUCCUUGGUGUAGUAGCUUAUGGGGUAA